rnacentral:rRNA from 1 species
UACGGAGGGUGCGAGCGUUGUCCGGAAUCACUGGGCGUAAAGAGCGCGUAGGCGGUCCGGUAAGUCCGCUCUGAAAGUCCGGGGCUCAACCCCGGGAGGCGGGCGGAUACUGUCGGGCUAGAGUCCGGAAGAGGCGAGUGGAAUUCCUGGUGUAGCGGUGAAAUGCGCAGAUAUCAGGAGGAACACCAAUGGCGAAGGCAGCUCGCUGGGACGGUACUGACGCUGAGGCGCGAAAGCGUGGGGAGCAAACAGG